GCGGGCCUAAUAAUGCAGUCGAGCGACAGAUAAGGAGCUUGCUCCUUUGACGUUAGCGGCGGACGGGUGAGUAACACGUGGGUAACCUACCUAUAAGACUGGGAUAACUUCGGGAAACCGGAGCUAAUACCGGAUAACAUUUGGAACCGCAUGGUUCUAAAGUGAAAGAUGGUUUUGCUAUCACUUAUAGAUGGACCCGCGCCGUAUUAGCUAGUUGGUAAGGUAACGGCUUACCAAGGCGACGAUACGUAGCCGACCUGAGAGGGUGAUCGGCCACACUGGAACUGAGACACGGUCCAGACUCCUACGGGAGGCAGCAGUAGGGAAUCUUCCGCAAUGGGCGAAAGCCUGACGGAGCAACGCCGCGUGAGUGAUGAAGGGUUUCGGCUCGUAAAACUCUGUUAUUAGGGAAGAACAAAUGUGUAAGUAACUGUGCACGUCUUGACGGUACCUAAUCAGAAAGCCACGGCUAACUACGUGCCAGCAGCCGCGGUAAUACGUAGGUGGCAAGCGUUAUCCGGAAUUAUUGGGCGUAAAGCGCGCGUAGGCGGUUUCUUAAGUCUGAUGUGAAAGCCCACGGCUCAACCGUGGAGGGUCAUUGGAAACUGGGAAACUUGAGUGCAGAAGAGGAAAGUGGAAUUCCAUGUGUAGCGGUGAAAUGCGCAGAGAUAUGGAGGAACACCAGUGGCGAAGGCGACUUUCUGGUCUGUAACUGACGCUGAUGUGCGAAAGCGUGGGGAUCAAACAGGAUUAGAUACCCUGGUAGUCCACGCCGUAAACGAUGAGUGCUAAGUGUUAGGGGUUUCCGCCCCUUAGUGCUGCAGCUAACGCAUUAAGCACUCCGCCUGGGGAGUACGACCGCAAGGUUGAAACUCAAGGAUUGACGGGACCGCACAGCGGUGGAGCAUGUGUUUAAUCGAAGCACGCGAAGAACCUUACCAAGUCUGACAUCUUUGAAACUCUAGAAGA
rnacentral:rRNA from 2 species